rnacentral:tRNA from 1 species
GCCCCUGUAGUAUAAUCCGGUUAAGUAUGCGGGCUUCUCGAGCCUGAGAUCUGGGUUCAAAUCCCAGCGGGGGCG